rnacentral:rRNA from 1 species
UACGUAGGGGGCAAGCGUUGUCCGGAUUUAUUGGGUGUAAAGCGCUCGCAGGUGGUUCGUCGCGUCGUGCGUGAAAGCCCCCGGCUCAACUGGGGAGGGUCACUCGAUACUGAUCGACUCGAAGGCAGGAGAGGGUAGUGGAAUUCCCGGUGUAGUGGUGAAAUGCGUAGAUAUCGGGAGGAACACCAGUGGCGAAGGCGACUACCUGGCCUGUUCUUGACGCUGAGGCGCGAAAGCUAGGGGAGCAAACGGG